rnacentral:rRNA from 2 species
GCUGGCGGCGUGCCUAAUACAUGCAAGUCGAACGAACUCUGGUAUUGAUUGGUGCUUGCAUCAUGAUUUACAUUUGAGUGAGUGGCGAACUGGUGAGUAACACGUGGGAAACCUGCCCAGAAGCGGGGGAUAACACCUGGAAACAGAUGCUAAUACCGCAUAACAACUUGGACCGCAUGGUCCGAGCUUGAAAGAUGGCUUCGGCUAUCACUUUUGGAUGGUCCCGCGGCGUAUUAGCUAGAUGGUGGGGUAACGGCUCACCAUGGCAAUGAUACGUAGCCGACCUGAGAGGGUAAUCGGCCACAUUGGGACUGAGACACGGCCCAAACUCCUACGGGAGGCAGCAGUAGGGAAUCUUCCACAAUGGACGAAAGUCUGAUGGAGCAACGCCGCGUGAGUGAAGAAGGGUUUCGGCUCGUAAAACUCUGUUGUUAAAGAAGAACAUAUCUGAGAGUAACUGUUCAGGUAUUGACGGUAUUUAACCAGAAAGCCACGGCUAACUACGUGCCAGCAGCCGCGGUAAUACGUAGGUGGCAAGCGUUGUCCGGAUUUAUUGGGCGUAAAGCGAGCGCAGGCGGUUUUUUAAGUCUGAUGUGAAAGCCUUCGGCUCAACCGAAGAAGUGCAUCGGAAACUGGGAAACUUGAGUGCAGAAGAGGACAGUGGAACUCCAUGUGUAGCGGUGAAAUGCGUAGAUAUAUGGAAGAACACCAGUGGCGAAGGCGGCUGUCUGGUCUGUAACUGACGCUGAGGCUCGAAAGUAUGGGUAGCAAACAGGAUUAGAUACCCUGGUAGUCCAUACCGUAAACGAUGAAUGCUAAGUGUUGGAGGGUUUCCGCCCUUCAGUGCUGCAGCUAACGCAUUAAGCAUUCCGCCUGGGGAGUACGGCCGCAAGGCUGAAACUCAAAGGAAUUGACGGGGGCCCGCACAAGCGGUGGAGCAUGUGGUUUAAUUCGAAGCUACGCGAAGAACCUUACCAGGUCUUGACAUACUAUGCAAAUCUAAGAGAUUAGACGUUCCCUUCGGGGACAUGGAUACAGGUGGUGCAUGGUUGUCGUCAGCUCGUGUCGUGAGAUGUUGGGUUAAGUCCCGCAACGAGCGCAACCCUUAUUAUCAGUUGCCAGCAUUAAGUUGGGCACUCUGGUGAGACUGCCGGUGACAAACCGGAGGAAGGUGGGGAUGACGUCAAAUCAUCAUGCCCCUUAUGACCUGGGCUACACACGUGCUACAAUGGAUGGUACAACGAGUUGCGAACUCGCGAGAGUAAGCUAAUCUCUUAAAGCCAUUCUCAGUUCGGAUUGUAGGCUGCAACUCGCCUACAUGAAGUCGGAAUCGCUAGUAAUCGCGGAUCAGCAUGCCGCGGUGAAUACGUUCCCGGGCCUUGUACACACCGCCCGUCACACCAUGAGAGUUUGUAACACCCAAAGUCGGUGGGGUAACCUUUUAGGAACCAGCCGCCUAAGGUGGGACAGAUGAUUAGGG